AUUGAACGCUGGCGGCAGGCCUAACACAUGCAAGUCGAGCGGAUGAAGGGAGCUCGCUCCUGGAUUCAGCGGCCGACGGGCGAGUAAUGCCUAGGAAUCUGCCUGGUAGUGGGGGAUAACGUCCGGAAACGGGCGCUAAUCUCGCAUACGUCAUGAGGGAGAAAGUGAGGGAUCUUCGGACCUCACGCUAUCAGAUGAGCCUAGGUCGGAUUAGCUAGUUGGUGGGGUAAAGGCCUACCAAGGCGACGAUCCGUAACAGGUCUGAGAGGAUGAUCAGUCACACUGGAACUGAGACACGGUCCAGACUCCUACGGGAGGCAGCAGUGGGGAAUAUUGGACAAUGGGCGAAAGCCUGAUCCAGCCAUGCCGCGUGUGUGAAGAAGGUCUUCGGAUUGUAAAGCACUUUAAGUUGGGAGGAAGGGCAGUAAGUUAAUACCUUGCUGUUUUGACGUUACCAACAGAAAAAGCACCGGCUAACUUCGUG
rnacentral:rRNA from 1 species